rnacentral:lncRNA from 1 species
GGUGUUUUCAGUUCCAGGUUAGAUGGUGUUUUCAGUUCCAGGUUGGAUGUUGAUUUCAGUUCCAGGUUGGAUGUUGAUUUCAGGUUGGAUGGUGUUUUCAGUUCCAGGUUGGAUGGUGAUUUCAGGUUCCAGGUUGGAUGGUGAUUUCAGGUUGGAUGGUGUUUUCAGGAUCCAGGUUGGAUGGUGUUUUCAGGUUCCAGGUUGGAUGGUGUUUUCAGGAUCCAGGUUAGAUGGUGUUUUCAGUUCCAAGUUGGAUGGUGUUUUCAGUUCCAGGUUGGAUGGUGUUUUCAGGUUCCAGAUUGGAUGGUGUUUUCAGUUCCAGGUUGGAUGGUGUUUUCAGUUCCAGGUUGGAUGGUGAUUUCAGGUUCCAGGUUGGAUGGUGAUUUCAGGUUGGAUGGUGUUUUCAGGAUCCAGGUUGGAUGGUGUUUUCAGGUUCCAGGUUGGAUGGUGUUUUCAGGAUCCAGGUUAGAUGGUGUUUUCAGUUCCAGGUUGGAUGGUGUUUUCAGGUUCCAGAUUGGAUGGUGUUUUCAGUUCCAGGUUGGAUGGUGUUUUCAGGUUCCAUGUUGGAUGGUGUUUUCAGUUCCAGGUUGGAUGUUGAUUUCAGGUUCCAGGUUGGAUGUUGA